rnacentral:tRNA from 1 species
GGAAGAGAAGCUUUGGAGAAGCAUAGAAUUUUUGAUUCUAGGAUGGGAAAACCCUUUUUCA